CUCUGUCCCUCCCUGCAGCACUGAUAGCCAUUGGGCGAUACAGCAUGACCAUAGAGACAGUGGACGUUGGAUGGUGUAAAGAAAUUACAGACCAAGGAGCCACCCUCAUUGCGCAGAGCAGCAAGUCUCUGAGAUAUUUGGGGCUGAUGAGAUGCGAUAAAGUCAACGAAGUGACAGUGGAACAGCUGGUGCAGCAGUACCCUCACAUCACCUUCAGCACCGUCCUGCAGGACUGCAAGAGGACCUUGGAGAGAGCCUAUCAGAUGGGCUGGACCCCCAACAUGUCCGCCGCCUCCUCCUAACACUCCAACCCAAGCUCAGGUCCCCUGGGACCAUUCAGCAGGGCAGACAGGAAGUGUCGAUUUGGGGUGGGUGACCUCUUGGAAAGGUUUUAACUGUCACAUGUCUAUGUGUGUACCCGAGUGUGUAUAUUUGUGUCUCAUUUGCCUAUUGCAUAGCAUAAGCGCAAUUGCUAUUUAUUCCCAGGUGAGCUGGUUUUUUUUCUUUAAAAUUAAAGAUUUUGAAAGCCACACACCUUUUAGUUUUUAAAUUCAAAAGCUUAUUUCUCUAAAAAAAAAAAAACAACCAAAAAACUAUUCCUACGAUGGAAUAAAAAAAAAAUGACUCUAUUAUUUUGAACUUCUAAUUACUGCCACUUGGUGAUGCCCCAAAUUGAAGGCAACUGCCUUCUUUUCUGAUGAGAUAGAAUUGUGUACUUGUACUGAUGACAACCAGAGCAUAAGUGAUGUUACUAAUUAGAAGCCUGGAAACCAGUCCUUUUCAAAAUUUCAAGCACGUAUGCAUAUAUAGGUUCUCAUACUCUCAUGUACACAUACACCAGGGCAGUUUCUCUCUGGAUCAUUUUCUGACAGAGGGGCCUUCCUCCAGGAUGUCACUCACUGUGGCUCUGCCUAACCCAGUGUGUCCACAGGUGACCAACUUGCUAUCUGGUCGAUGACUUAGGGACUAGAGAGGAUAAAGCCUUUUGUGAAAUUUUUAUAUGGAGGCAACAAUCUGAACUUCCCUGGCCAAUUCACAAAAGAUAAGUAUUCAUUAUUCUACAAAUGUGUUGUGUUGAAUACUAAAUAUUGUAGUUGAGUUUUACGUUAACAUUAUGUUAGCUUUUAUUUUAUGGAUAGUAACUGGUCUGGAUAUAUUUAAUUGAUAAUUGGAGCUAAUCUUAGCAUUAUCCACAUUAAAGCCACCAAUGUAAUUCAUAGUGUGAAGUUAUUUUUUAAAAACCUACAGAUCAUUUAAUUAUUUUUGUUAAUUUGGGUAAUUAUGAAACUAUAUUUCUGAGAUUUGGGAGUAGUCACAUUAAUAGAAGAUUAAUGAGUGAGAUACAAGUAAACAAUCUUUUUUUUUUUUUUUGCUUUACUUUGGGCUUAGAACAGGUUUUUGGAUAUUUGCAUGUUAUUUUUUGAAUCGUUCUUAUGCUACUGCAAAGACCUAUUGCUGGUUAAUGUAUGAGUUAAGAAGAAAAAUUAUAAAAUCUUUUCAUUAAGAUUCUGUUUACACUUGUCAGAAAUAAGUAUUUCUUUGUAUAAAAAUUGACACCUUUCAUUUAAGAAAAUAUCUAUCAGUAAAUGAAUAUAUGUUUUGAUUUCACACAUCUUUACAAUGAAUUCAAAGUAGGGACUCAGGCUCAAAUAACCUUUCCUGUGUCUAGAUUUAUAAUCAAGACCGCAGGGAGCCUUUUUAUGCUAAAGAGUGAUUAUCUUUCCCAGUAGAGCUAGAUACAAAACCUUGACUUGUGAUUUUGCUAUUUAUUCUUCCCCAAUGUGGUCAUAGCUGUUUUUUGGACUUGAACAGGUACACUAAGGUUUGAGUUGUUAAACCAUAUUGCUGAAAUGAGACUAGCUAUAAGAAACAAAGAAUAGCUUUACAUUCAAAUGCCAUUCACUUAUUUAUAAUGACUCCAAAAAAUGUAAACAACUGUUUCUUUUGAUUAUGUCAAUGUGUUUCUGAUGUGGCAUUUUCUAGCUUUUAAUCUCAAUCAGUUAGGAAAAUCUAGUCAGUAACCACCAAGGGUAUUUUUUUUCCAUCACUAAAUGGGUUACUGAUUUAAUUUGAAAGGGAUAAAAUUUGUAUAAGGAAAAAAGCUGUUUACUAUUCAUAAACAGUAGUUCUUCCUACACAUCGAACUAUAUCAUUUUCAUAUUCAUUCCCCUCCAUUGAAAAAUACCUUAAAUCAUAAUAUUUUAACUGGUUUUUAAUCCAAAACUAAUUUAUAAGACAGUAUGUAUAGUAAUAGUAGCUUGAGUGAAUAAGCAAAAGUUUAAUUUUUAUAUAUGUCAUACUAUAUUUUAAAUAGUUAAAAAAAAGACAAAAGAAGGGAGAGCCAUCGAUGAUAUAGAUGGUGCCAUUUCAGUUCAAAGUUGUAAUAAUAAUCUUUGGAGUGUUAUAGUUUGUUUGUCACAUGGUUUCAGAAGUGUAUAAUUGAUUUUUUUUCUGUUUAAUGUUGCGGUGUUUGAAUCUAAAGUACAGCACUAUACCAUGCUUUAGCUUGGGGUGGGGGGUGGGGGGACUUGCACUUAUUCUUUAAGAUGUUGACUAAUCCAGAAAGCCUGAUGCAACAUAACCUGGAAAACUGCUUUGGUAUAUUUGUAGAAAUCUAUAGAAGUAUCAUAUCAAGCCUCAAAGCAUUAAUCUCAAAAAACAACCAGAAAAAGUGUUACCUUCAGUGAUCCUGUGAUGGUUGUUGAAUGUGUUCUCAUUAGAUGCUUUGAAAUGAGGCUUAAAAUGAUUUUUCUGGGCGAUAUAGAGUUUCUUUUUUUUCUUUUUUUUUUCUUUUUUUGCUUAGAAUGUCAUAAACAUAUGUGAACACGUUUAAUGCAGGGCUUUCAUCCUCUCCAAAAUAUCAACAGUAUUUUCAGAAUAAAGACUAUGAAAUAUAUUGCUGUAGUGGAAAA